CCUCAGAAAGAGAAGUAGCUCGAUCACGUAAUGUGUACUGUUGUUUAUUCUACCGUUACUGGCACGGCUAACAGUGUAGCAAGGCUAAUAGCGGGUGGCUAACUCUAACUUUAAGCUUGCAUAUUACAUGGUGCUUCACCGUUAACUCGGCGUGACCGAGACCAGCACAGCGGGGAACAUCGUGAAGUGGGUUGAACUGAAACUUGUUGACUUAUUGUGUAUUUCACAAACUGGUUUAUUUACCGUUGAGGCGGACCACUCUCCUCCGUACGUCCCUGAGCUGCCUGCUUCAGAUCCGUCACUCUGCUGUGCUGUGAGGUAGUUAGUGGAUGAAGAUUGUCAUGAGGUCGCUGCGCCAUCUACAGGAUAAGUCGGGGAACUUUACAAAUGGUGGAACAUUUUCAAAGUGAAACCAAAUCUUAUUCUCC
rnacentral:lncRNA from 1 species